rnacentral:rRNA from 1 species
GACGAACGCUGGCGGCGUGCUUAACACAUGCAAGUCGAACGGAAAGGCCCUGCUUUUGUGGGGUGCUCGAGUGGCGAACGGGUGAGUAACACGUGAGUAACCUGCCCUUGACUUUGGGAUAACUUCAGGAAACUGGGGCUAAUACCGGAUAGGAGCUCCUGCUGCAUGGUGGGGGUUGGAAAGUUUCGGCGGUUGGGGAUGGACUCGCGGCUUAUCAGCUUGUUGGUGGGGUAGUGGCUUACCAAGGCUUUGACGGGUAGCCGGCCUGAGAGGGUGACCGGCCACAUUGCGACUGAGAGACGGCCCAGACUCCUACGUGAGGCAGCAGUGGGGAAUAUGGCACAAUGGGCGGAAGCCUGAUGCAGCAACGCUGCGUGCGGGAUGACGGCCUUCGGGUUGUAAACCGCUUUCGCCUGAGACGAAGCGUGAGUGACGGUAAUGGGUAAAGAAGCACCGGCUAACUACGUG